rnacentral:rRNA from 1 species
UACGGAGGAUCCAAGCGUUAUCCGGAUUUAUUGGGUUUAAAGGGUGCGUAGGCGGGUAGGUAAGUCAGUGGUGAAAUCUCCGAGCUUAACUUGGAAACUGCCGUUGAUACUAUCUAUCUUGAAUGCUGUGGAGGUUAGCGGAAUAUGUCAUGUAGCGGUGAAAUGCUUAGAUAUGACAUAGAACACCAAUUGCGAAGGCAGCUAGCUACACAGUUAUUGACGCUGAUGCACGAAAGCGUGGGGAUCAAACAGG